AGGUGUUAUCCAGUUUAUCUCCAAUUCCUCUUCAAGCAGUUCUUCUGUAUGUUCUUUGAGUUCCAUUCAGUGUUUUCAAGCCACUUUCUCAGUGGUACACUUACUUCUGACAAAUUGGGAAUGAACUCGGCUAGAUACUGCAGCAUACCCAGACAUCUCUGUAGAGCCUGUUUGUCUUCUGGUGGCAGUAGCUGCAUUACAGCUCUCACCUUCUCAUCUGCUUUGAGUCCAUCAGCUGAGUUUUCUUGGUCUGCGAUCAUGUUCUUGUAUGGUUUCUCCCCGUACUAAGAAAUCUAUGUUGAUUACACCAUCCAGAUCUUCAAUCUGUGCUAUCACUCUUUGAAAUACCUCUGAUGCCAAUGAUAUUCCAAAAGGCAAUUGGAACUUCUCGUGGUGCAUAAACAACUGGUUUGACUGUUGGAUCUACUUGUAUAUGAUGGUGUCCUGGCAUACAUCCUAAACCAC